GCCAAUAAUUCUGAUUCAGUUACAAGACAUUCUCAUUUUUUGUAAAAUAAAUAAAUGAAAUGAAUUAAUUAUAACAACAAUAAAUAAAAACAGAUUAUUGCAAACAGCUCAGCCAGAUCUAGGUGUUUUCUUAACAAAUUGGUUUAGCCGUUAACAAAAAUAUUAAAAUAGCUUUUCUGGGUUGUAUCUCCGCAAUCUACUUCAUAUCCGUGUCAAUUGUCGUAUGGUUUUUUCAACACAGUGUAUCAAAAAUUGUAACGCUAACUACUAUGUAUCUAUCAAUCUAGCUUGAAUCAUGCACAAAACGCUUGCAAAUGCCAUUUGGUAGCCGGUGAAGAUAAAUAUAUAAAUAAUAACACGUAAUAAACAACAAAUUCCCUUUGAUGUGGCAGAAGGCCCUAGUUUUCCCGACACCAAAAUCUUGCAAUCCGACGACUUUCAAGGAUCUGAGGCCGAUGCGAAGUUUGUGGAUCUUCGUUAUAAUCACCAAAGCCUCCUCGUAUCAUAGAGACUGGGGUCCAGUAAUAGCCCCGUUUACCCCAGGUCUGGUACCAAUCCAAAGCGAGUGCGAAGACCAGCCUGGAAGACCGUGCUUGGAAAUACCAUCAAGGGACAUUUGUAAGAAGAAGUUAUUGCAGCCUCCGAAUCCCUGGUUACCGCUACCGUGGUGGUAUCUUUAUUGUAAGCUCCUGGUUGCACCGAGGCCAACUGUCCCUCAAUCAACAUACACGGUUCAUCAGCAUUAUAAGGAUACCUUGAACGAAUUGAAAAGUUUUUACAGAGAGAUUGGGAAUGGAGCAACCGCCUUCAGGCUAUUUAAGUUUUAUUGUAAUGAAACUUUAUUAAAUAAAGAAGAAGCUCGC